AUUUUUAAUCAACCUUCACAUAUUUACAUUGGGGCGGAACCAAAAAGUGGCGAAGGUUGGUUUCCGCCCGGCCCGUAUAUUACAAACACCGGAACUUCCGGGAAACUCUGGGAGGCAAAUUGGGCUGUACGAGGCACAGGUGAGGACCAUAAACGCGGCGAUCGUGGAUUGGACAAUGGAGAGAACAGGAAGGGUAUAAAAAGUCUCAGAAAUUCAAACAGGAGUUGGAGUUGAAUUGAUUCAGGCCGAUCCGGCGGGCAGUGUAGAGGUUUGGGCAGAGUCAGCAUUGGUGAAGGCAGAGGAACUUCACGGGGUGAAGAAGGAGACAAGGACACUAGUAACUGGGCUGAGUAGACGACAUUUAUUGAUGUUUGAAGAGACCAUCUGUAUAUAAACUACUGAUGUGUUGGAGUCACAGUCAUAGGAAGUACUCACCGGAAGUAACGUCAAGGGUGAUCUCCAGCAACGGAAAACCGAUGGUGUGAAGAGGAUUGGACAGCUAGAAGGAGAAGGAGACAAAGGAAGAGUGUUAUCGUUCAUUUGUGAGUACUAUUGGACAGUGCAUCGUACACCAUUGCUGAGAGUGCAUUACCCAGCGUAUGUUGUGAGUAUCUGGUAAAUAGGCCAGUGGCCCCAUUACGGAGCAGAGUUUUGGGUGAGCCGGGAAGUACAAGUACAGGAAGCCGCAAGCAGUUGUGACGGCAACGUUAUUCCUCCGGCCCUUCAUCUAUCAACAACGCCCAACGAAACCCCAGGAUAAGUCCUAGUAAACCGUGGCUCUGACCCUAUUUCACGUAGAGUGUGUGGAGUGCAGUGGGUGAGUCCUUGUCUUUGUUGUGAGUGUGUACACUUGAAAUCUUGCAGUGGUAUGCUGUGGUUGUGUUGUCAGUAGCCACCCUGGACUGGAUGAGUCGUGGGGAAGACCAGUGACCGUUGAGGCUGGUGAAGCGCCAUUUUCAUCUAUGUGCCAUUUUGCGACCCCUGCAUGGAGACCCAAAUGUAACGUCCUGUCUAGACCCUUUUCGGAAUACCCUGGCUCUGUGGAAGCGGUGGUGAAGAAUACACGUAAGCAAGACUGGUGUGAGUAAAAACCAAAAUUAUACCUAUAUGCAAGGAGGAAGUUUUACUGUUGCAAAUUAGCUGUGUGGAUUUACUUUACCUGUUGUGGAGCCUCUUCAAAGGUUCACCCCGGUCCAGAUCCCUUAAACUGCAAAUAGAAGAGAGGAGAGGGAAGCGUUUGGCCCGGUGCGACAGUGUUUAACUUUCCCUGACGCACAGGAAAUCUCUGUGGAGGCCUGCGCUACGACGAUUUACUACUCCAGUGCCAUUGGAGUUCUGUGUCGCGGGUUGGCGCUCACCUCGGAGUGUGCAGAAGGGGAGGCGCCGCCCGAGCACCCUGUACGAAGAGAUCGGAGGAACAAGUCAUUUAUCAGCCAGUCGUAUGGACCCAAGUAACAGGUAGCCACUCUCACCGGAUCGAUCACUCAUUGUGUGUUUCACUCUGCCUUCAGGAGAAAAGAAGGGCGCCACGAGUCAACAAAAGCCCAAAGGGACAUACUAACCCUCGCCGCAUAGUCCUCUCCGGCCCCUUUCUCCUCCUGCUGAACAGAGACGAUAAUUUUAAGAUUUACCUCCCCCUCCCUGAAUUAUUUUAAUUAAUUUAAAUAAAGUUGUUUUAAUAUUA